UAGCUCAGUGGUAGAGUACUUGCCUAGCAUGUAUGAGGCACUGAGUUUGAUUCUCAG
rnacentral:tRNA from 1 species